ACAAAUCCCUCCCAACAGCUCCGCUGGCUUUUGUAUGGGGAGAAGACACUUAUAAUUUCCUCGAGUCCUGGGAUGGUCGUGCAAGUUAUUAUCCAAUCAGGAUACUUUUGAAAUGGAGAUGGGGUCAUUUUAGUCGUAAUGGGACAGCAGAGAUAAAUUGGGGCUGUUUUGAGUGAACACAGGUGGUCAUCUUAUUAGGGACACCAUGGAAGAACUGUCUGGAAUCAGGUGGAGGAGGCUCACUCUUAGAAAAGCCACUGUUUAUCCAGACACGGGCUGAAACUCUGGGCUCUCUGAAAAUGACCAGCAUUAGGAGAGCGAUCAAGACCACCAAGCUGUGUAAGGUGCCCUCCAUCGCAGACAUCGGCUGACAUAACAGUAAAGACUUACGAGAGUGCGCCACGUCAUCCACUAUCCACCAAUGGCAGCAAGCAACAGAUCAGCUGGUGUGGCCUGGCAAAGCAGAGAAGUGGCCCUGAUGUGUUAUGGUCAAAUCAGAUGGAGACACGCUGGGAACAGGAAAAUACUGAGAGGGUCAAAAAGGGAAGAACUGGUAAACCAGAUCGUGAGCUGAGCCUCGGACUGAACCAGGAACAUAUCCUACAUUCCAUGGAACUUAUAGUAAGUCCUCCAAAGCACGGGGAGGCCCUGGAACAAUAGGACUUGAUUUGGCUUUCCCACAUAGAGGAUUUACCAUGCGAACAAUAGCCCAGUGUGCCCUGUAGUGGCAGUUUUCCAUUUACCCAGAAUUUCAUUUUAAUGAAAAAGCACUGAUCUUCAAGUUAAUUAAAAUUGGAUUAUACAGGUUUCAUAGUUUAUAAUUUGGUGCAGGAGCUCCAUAAGCCCGAACCUUUAGAAAACCUGCCAUAGCUCAUGUCUGUGAUCUUCAACACGUACUUUUCCUAACUGAUGCCUUGCUGCUCAUACAACAAAGAGUUGGAGAGGUAAGACUGUAAAAUCAGCAUUUGUUUGUAGAAGCAACUCCUGCCACAAGACCAGCGAUCUUGGAUAACAGUAAAGAACAAUGGUUUGGGGUGGCGGGGUGACUAUGGGGACCGGAGCUAAAGGACCGACUACGCAGCCUCCAGGAGCAGCACAUUUUUGUAGUAAUUAGGUUGUUUCUGUUGGCCCGAUCUUUGCAUUCACCAUGGGAACUGAGUCAAGUUUGCUUGCUUUUCCCGCAGAGA